rnacentral:rRNA from 1 species
GCAGUCGAGCGGACAGAUGGGAGCUUGCUCCCUGAUGUUAGCGGCGGACGGGUGAGUAACACGUGGGUAACCUGCCUGUAAGACUGGGAUAACUCCGGGAAACCGGGGCUAAUACCGGAUGGUUGUUUGAACCGCAUGGUUCAAACAUAAAAGGUGGCUUCGGCUACCACUUACAGAUGGACCCGCGGCGCAUUAGCUAGUUGGUGAGGUAACGGCUCACCAAGGCAACGAUGCGUAGCCGACCUGAGAGGGUGAUCGGCCACACUGGGACUGAGACACGGCCCAGACUCCUACGGGAGGCAGCAGUAGGGAAUCUUCCGCAAUGGACGAAAGUCUGACGGAGCAACGCCGCGUGAGUGAUGAAGGUUUUCGGAUCGUAAAGCUCUGUUGUUAGGGAAGAACAAGUACCGUUCGAAUAGGGCGGUACCUUGACGGUACCUAACCAGAAAGCCACGGCUAACUACGUGCCAGCAGCCGCGGUAAUACGUAGGUGGCAAGCGUUGUCCGGAAUUAUUGGGCGUAAAGGGCUCGCAGGCGGUUUCUUAAGUCUGAUGUGAAAGCCCCCGGCUCAACCGGGGAGGGUCAUUGGAAACUGGGGAACUUGAGUGCAGAAGAGGAGAGUGGAAUUCCACGUGUAGCGGUGAAAUGCGUAGAGAUGUGGAGGAACACCAGUGGCGAAGCGACUCUCUGGUCUGUAACUGACGCUGAGGAGCGAAAGCGUGGGGAGCGAACAGGAUUAGAUACCCUGGUAGUCCACGCCGUAACGAUGAGUGCUAAGUGUUAGGGGUUUCCCGCCCCUUAGUGCUGCAGCUAACGCAUUAAGCACUCCGCCUGGGGAGUACGGUCGCAAGACUGAAACUCAAAGGAAUUGA